rfam:Anopheles atroparvus strain EBRO unplaced genomic scaffold supercont1.9, whole genome shotgun sequence.
UCGAAAGUUCCAUGCUUCCUUGCAUUCAAUAGUGUAUUUAAAAACCUAUGGAAUGUAAAGAAGUAUGGAGCGCUCGG